rnacentral:rRNA from 1 species
UACGUAGGUGGCAAGCGUUGUCCGGAAUCAUUGGGCGUAAAGAGCGUGUAGGCGGCUCGGUAAGUCCGCUCUGAAAGCCCGGGGCUCAACCCCGGGAGGCGGGCGGAUACUGUCGGGCUAGAGUCCGGAAGAGGCGAGUGGAAUUCCUGGUGUAGCGGUGAAAUGCGCAGAUAUCAGGAGGAACACCAAUAGCGAAAGCAGCUCGCUGGGACGGUACUGACGCUGAGACGCGAAAGCGUGGGGAGCAAACAGG